rnacentral:rRNA from 1 species
ACGGAAGGCAGCAGUGGGGGAUAUUGCGCCAUGGGGGCAACCCUGACGCAGCAACGCCGCGUGAAGGAUGAAGGUCUUCGGAUUGUAAACUUCUUUUGUCAAGGACGCAGUUCUGACGGUACUUGACGAAUAAGCUCCGGCUAACUACGUGCCAGCCGCCGCGGUAAUACGUAGGGAGCAAGCGUUGUCCGGAGUUACUGGGUGUAAAGGGUGCGUAGGCGGCUAGGCAAGUCAGAUGUGAAAUCUAUGGGCUCAACCCAUAGCCUGCAUUUGAAACUGCUUGGAUUGAGUGAAGUAGAGGUAGGCGGAAUUCCCCGUGUAGCGGUGAAAUGCGUAGAGAUGGGGAGGAACACCAGUGGCGAAGGCGGCCUACUGGGCUUUAACUGACGCUGAGGCACGAAAGCGUGGGUAGCAAACAGGAUUAGAUACCCUGGUA